rnacentral:rRNA from 1 species
GAGUGUAGUGUAGCGCGGCCAGUCACCAGUGAGCGCGGCAUUAGCGUGCGUGGAAGGCAUUGUGAGCCCGCUCCUCGCCUCGCCUUCGGUGCUCUUCGGCUCUCGUGCGUGCGCGCGUGCGCUGCGGUUGGUUGCGCAGAGGGGGUGCAAAGGUCCCUCGAGCGGGCCGGGGGAGACGAGACUGGUCGGUCGGUUUGGUUGGUGGCGGGGCGCGGCCAGGCCUUUGGAGGCCGCUCCUGCCCCUGCCUCGCCGCAGCCGGCCCUCCACCCGGAUCCUCCCUCUCGCCGCUCGCGUACCGCAGCAGCUCCCACUACCGCAGCAGCAGCUUCGGCAGCGUGUGCCGCAGCCUAGAGCGCGCGAAGCGCGUCCGGCGCCCCUCCGGGCCGCCGCCCCCGCCCCCGCCGUCGCCCGACCCCAGGUACUUGCACCUCCUCGACGAGGCGCCGUAGAUGUCGCUGCGCGGGUGCGGCCGCGUGCUGGCCGGCCGCAGCGGGGGGCAGGGCGGCGAGGGCCGCCGCGGCGCCGUCGUCCGCUGGCGCGCCGCCUGCCACCUGCUCCACACCUCCCUCUAGUGACCGCCGUCGCCGCCCCUCCUCCUCCGCCGGGGCCGGUGGCGACCGCCCCGGCGCCUCUACUGCGACCUCCUGAAGGACCGCUCCCUCCUGCCGCGGCAGCAGUCCCCCCGCCUCCUCGUCCAUCGCUACGGCUGCUACCGCGAAGAGCCGCCCCGCCUCCCGCGCGCCCCGCCGCCCUCCCCCUCCUUCGCCGUCGAGUACCUGGGGUACCUGGCGCGGCGCUACGUCGCCGUCUUCGCCUACUAGUUCUUGGCGCUCAGGCGACGCUCCAGUGCUCUCUCCUUCGUCCGGAUGUAUCGGCUCGAGCUCAGCAACCAGUGCGUCGAGCUUCUCCUCUUGCGGGUGGACAGGUUUCUCGUCACGUAGACACAAGGUAAUCGAUGCCAAAAUCUUGAGAGUACCACUAUACAGAAACCACACAAGGUCCUCCUCCGUUUGGUCUCUGCCGAAUUUCUCGAGUUCCUUUUCCACUGAGGUCAGUAGUAACGUUUUUGCGGCAGUGUUCUAGAAUCUUCUUGUUUGAGUUACCUCACCAUCUGUACUUGGUUCGAGUCAUCGAUAGGGGAAUGUCGAUAUAUCUAAAACUAAACAAACAAACGGUAAGAAGACAAAUAACCUCAAUUGAGUCAACAACAUUGGAUCAUCUUUAUCGUAUUUGUAGAAUUUACCCUAGUAUUACACAUCUCGCCUUCCGACGUAAACUCGUUUUUCCUUAGAGUAGUCGUCGAAUAUAAGACAGACUAAACGUAAAAAGAAAAAUACGACGGUCAUACAUAUCACUACAUCUCGUGUUAUGUUUGUCUUG